rnacentral:rRNA from 1 species
UACGUAGGCAGCGAGCGUUGUUCGGAAUUACUGGGCGUAAAGAGUGUGUAGGCGGUGCUCCCAGUCUGUUGUGAAAUCUCCCGGCUUAACUGGGAGGGUGCAGCGGAAACUAGAGUGCUAGAGGGUGGGGGAGGUAAGCGGAAUUCCUGGUGUAGCGGUGAAAUGCGUAGAUAUCAGGAGGAACACCUGUGGUGUAGACAGCUUACUGGACCACUUCUGACGCUGAGACACGAAAGCGUGGGUAGCAAACAGG